rnacentral:lncRNA from 1 species
UGGCAGUACAGCUGGCAGCCAGUGACAGCUCGCUCCAAGCACCACCACUCAGUGGGGGAGAAUGAGGAAUUAAUGCCAAGAGGUUCUUCUUGGCAUCGGACAGCAUUCACACGAAUGACCUGCUCUUUCUCCCUCCAAAAUUAUGGAUUUUUUGAUUAAUGAAAUGAGGAAGCCAGACUACUUUGUUUUCUACAGCACAUCUAUUAGUAGCUGCAGCCGCAAGGUUCUUUCCAUGACACAGAAGUACAUGGCAGUUUCUAAAACUUUCCAUUCUAGAGGCAAACAUGGGAAAUUAGUUCUUGGGUUCUCCAGGAAACUCUCAGACAGGAACUGGACUUUGGUAAAGCUGAAUGUGCAAUAACUAUCAAGAGACAAGGCUUUUCCAUACUAGUAUUUGUCUCAUUGGUUCUUGGUGUUGUGUAAGCUAUGUGAAGCCUGCAGUCAUUAUCUGAAUAUUGCAUUCUACUGAUCACAGUGCGUGAGAAAGUUUUCUAAUAUCCAGCAUCCACAUGAGUAUCUUUUCUUUACUUUCCAAACCUCCUUGCUUGCUGCAGUACUGCAGGGUGCCAGCCGAAGGCAGAUGGUCAAAGUGCUUCCUGGUUGCAAACAAGACAAAAUGAAAGAAGUCAACUUUCUCAUCUACUUGAGAGCAAUAGGAACAAAAUGGAU